rnacentral:rRNA from 1 species
AUUGAACGCUGGCGGCAUGCCUUACACAUGCAAGUCGAACGGCAGCACGGGAGCAAUCCUGGUGGCGAGUGGCGAACGGGUGAGUAAUACAUCGGAACGUGCCCAGUAGUGGGGGAUAGCCCGGCGAAAGCCGGAUUAAUACCGCAUACGACCUACGGGUGAAAGCGGGGGAUCGCAAGACCUCGCGCUAUUGGAGCGGCCGAUGUCAGAUUAGCUUGUUGGUGGGGUAAAAGCCUACCAAGGCAACGAUCUGUAGCUGGUCUGAGAGGGCGACCAGCCACACUGGGACUGAGACACGGCCCAGACUCCUACGGGAGGCAGCAGUGGGGAAUUUUGGACAAUGGGCGCAAGCCUGAUCCAGCCAUGCCGCGUGCGGGAAGAAGGCCUUCGGGUUGUAAACCGCUUUUGUCAGGGAAGAAACGGCCCCUUCUAAUACAGGGGGCUAAUGACGGUACCUGAAGAAUAAGCACCGGCUAACUACGUGCCAGCCGCCGCCGUAA